AGAGUUUGAUCCUGGCUCAGGAUGAACGCUAGCGGCAGGCUUAACACAUGCAAGUCGAGGGGCAGCAUAAUGGAUAGCAAUAUCUAUGGUGGCGACCGGCGCACGGGUGCGUAACGCGUAUGCAACCUACCUUUAACAGGGGGAUAACACUGAGAAAUUGGUACUAAUACCCCAUAAUAUCAUAGAAGGCAUCUUUUAUGGUUGAAAAUUCCGAUGGUUAGAGAUGGGCAUGCGUUGUAUUAGCUAGUUGGUGGGGUAACGGCUCACCAAGGCGACGAUACAUAGGGGGACUGAGAGGUUAACCCCCCACACUGGUACUGAGACACGGACCAGACUCCUACGGGAGGCAGCAGUGAGGAAUAUUGGUCAAUGGACGCAAGUCUGAACCAGCCAUGCCGCGUGCAGGAUGACGGCUCUAUGAGUUGUAAACUGCUUUUGUACGAGGGUAAACGCAGAUACGUGUAUCUGUCUGAAAGUAUCGUACGAAUAAGGAUCGGCUAACUCCGUGCCAGCAGCCGCGGUAAUACGGAGGAUUCAAGCGUUAUCCGGAUUUAUUGGGUUUAAAGGGUGCGUAGGCGGUUUGAUAAGUUAGAGGUGAAAUACCGGGGCUCAACUCCGGAACUGCCUCUAAUACUGUUGAACUAGAGAGUAGUUGCGGUAGGCGGAAUGUAUGGUGUAGCGGUGAAAUGCUUAGAGAUCAUACAGAACACCGAUUGCGAAGGCAGCUUACCAAACUAUAUCUGACGUUGAGGCACGAAAGCGUGGGGAGCAAACAGGAUUAGAUACCCUGGUAGUCCACGCAGUAAACGAUGAUAACUCGUUGUCGGCGAUACACAGUCGGUGACUAAGCGAAAGCGAUAAGUUAUCCACCUGGGGAGUACGUUCGCAAGAAUGAAACUCAAAGGAAUUGACGGGGGCCCGCACAAGCGGAGGAACAUGUG
rnacentral:rRNA from 1 species